rnacentral:tRNA from 1 species
CUUUUUAUAGGUUAAGCUAAACCGGGAGUUUGUGGGACUUCAAAUCUUUAAUAAAUGUAAAAAGC